CUGGCUUUGCACACAUAGGCUAAAAUUGGAACGAUACAGAGAAGAUUAGCAUGGCCCCUGCGCAAGGAUGACACGCAAAUUUGUAAACUAAAAAUUGCGUUC